rnacentral:rRNA from 1 species
ACGGGUGAGUAACGCGUGGGAACGUACCUUUUGGUUCGGAACAACUGAGGGAAACUUCAGCUAAUACCGGAUAAGCCCUUACGGGGAAAGAUUUAUCGCCGAAAGAUCGGCCCGCGUCUGAUUAGCUAGUUGGUGAGGUAAUGGCUCACCAAGGCGACGAUCAGUAGCUGGUCUGAGAGGAUGAUCAGCCACAUUGGGACUGAGACACGGCCCAAACUCCUACGGGAGGCAGCAGUGGGGAAUAUUGGACAAUGGGCGAAAGCCUGAUCCAGCCAUGCCGCGUGAGUGAUGAAGGCCCUAGGGUUGUAAAGCUCUUUUGUGCGGGAAGAUAAUGACGGUACCGCAAGAAUAAGCCCCGGCUAACUUCGUGCCAGCAGCCGCGGUAAUACGAAGGGGGCUAGCGUUGCUCGGAAUCACUGGGCGUAAAGGGUGCGUAGGCGGGUUCUUAAGUCAGAGGUGAAAUCCUGGAGCUCAACUCCAGAACUGCCUUAGAUACUGAGAGUCUUGAGUAUGACAGAGGUGAGUGGAACUGCGAGUGUAGAGGUGAAAUUCGUAGA